rnacentral:rRNA from 1 species
CUUUAGGGCUUAAAUACUCUAACACCACCAGAUCCCACCUGAUCUUGAAAACUAAGAAGGGCAAGGCCAGGUUAGUACUUGAAUGGGAUAUCAUCAAGGAAUGCCAGGGGCUGUCAGCU